UGUUUUGUUGACCUUCAUCUCAUGAUCUUCGUUUGUUUUAUUCCCUGAUAUUCUGAUUAGUUUGGUUAGGCGUUUAUGCUAUUAAGUGUUUGAUUUUCAUAGUAAUUUUUGAUCUUCAGUACUGGCAUAGUUCAAGCUGAUUUGUUUGGUUGAAUCUUUAAUUGCUUUCUAAUAUUUCAAUCCAUGUUCCAAGCUUUAUUUGAGUGAUUUAAUUAGGAUUUUCUUGUAAUGAGUAGUAGUUGAUUGGUUUUCUGGUUGAUAGUGAUCCAUUGGUCUUAAUACAAAGACAUCUGAAUGUUUGUGAUCCUAAGUUAUAAUAACUGAUAAGCCAAUCCAUAUUAGGACACUUAGUGGUAUGGAUCCAAUGGACAUGUUAAUCUAAAACUAAACCUUGGCCCAUAAACCAAAUACAAUCGACCAGGGUCAAGGAAUAACUGAGGUUAAAACCUCAGGUUAACCUGUUAAUCCAAACCAAACCUUGGCCCAUAACCCAAACACAAUCGGCCAGGGUCAAGGAAUAACUGAGGUUAAAACCUCAGGUUGGUUAUUUAGGAAAAGAAAUAGGGGUAUAAGAGGGAUUUGAACUUUAAAAAUCUGACAGUAAUCCCCUAGAACAUUCUAGUGAGG
rnacentral:lncRNA from 1 species